CUCCUGUGGGGCCCAGCCACAAAGCCCGGGGAUUAAGGGCAGGGUGUCCAGCUGCUCUUGGAAAAGGUAAAAGUUCUCCUGUUUUAGCAAUGACCUUUCCAGAUAUUUUCCCAGCCAAAUGUCAGGCCAUUGGAUUGUAUGAAGACCUCGAAGCGGCUUCCCUUGCCCUCAGCUGUUGUGAGUGGGUUUCUAUUUGAGGAUCUAGUGUGUGACAGUAUGAUCCCAGAAACACAGACGUUAGGCUUCAGAGGCUGGUUAGUCUAGCCCACUCUGAGCAGACGCCUAGGAGCAGUGAACUGAUGGAUGGAAACAAAGCCUUUCUCAGCCUUCCCCGCUCUAGCCACCAACAUCCCCAGGAAGCUCCAUGAAGCCCGGGACCUACUGGCUUGUUCAAAUUUAUAUCCACCAUUGGUCAUAGUAGGAGUUUGAAAAGGCUUUCUUGAAUGAAUGAAUGCCAGCCUCAUCUGGCAGUGAGCAGAGUUUGAAGUCAUGAAGUCUCCCCCCUGGAGCUUUGUAUCUAGAGAAAAACCGACCAUUUUUGGCUCCCUGCCCCAACUCAAUCAGUGUUCAGAGGUGACUCACUGGCUUGGUGAGGAGCUAGUGUCCCAGCUGACGUGCUGCACACAGACUGCCCCUGGCCAAGUGAGGGAUUAACCAGCUGGCGGAGACUGUAAGCUUGGAAGCAGGCACGGUACAGUGGAAAGACGCUGGGAAGGAUGGAAGACCUGAGGCUUAUUGAGGUCGUAAUGCUCUGGGCAGAAAAAGGGUCUGCAGUCUCUGGUGUACCACCAAGGAGCAUUUAUGUGCUCCUGCUUUCAGCUCACUUUCAAGAAGAACUCAGAACACUGAUGUCAUUCGAAGGGGGAAGAGCCACAGGAACUGGGCAAACUGGAGGGAGUGGUGGCGAGCCCAAUGAUGGGCCAGGGGAGUGUCCCUUCUCACCUGAUGCUCCCAUCCACACUGGGCAUUCUCAGGAGAUGAAGGGAGAAAGAAUGGCGUGGCUGUGGGCCAGGUGCCCGGAUUCAGGGACAAGGACGGGAAGGCGCUGCCUCUGUGGAGGGAGAAGGACUACAGCCUGUGAGACAGUAUUCCAGAUAGUUCUGAAGGACUGCUCUGAAGCUUGUUAG
rnacentral:lncRNA from 12 species